AGUCGGGCGGGAUCACGGCGCUUGCGCCGUGUGAGAGCGGCGGACUGGUGAGUAACACGUGGGCGACACACCCCCCGGACGGGGAUAGCCGGUAGAAAUACCGGGUAAUACCGGAUACGGCCGUACGUAUUGGAAGCGUACGGGGAAAGGAGCCUCGGCUCCGCCGGGGGAGUGGCCCGCGGCCCAUCAGCUAGCUGGCGGUGUAAUGGACCACCAGGGCUAUGACGGGUAUCCGGCCUGAGAGGGUGGACGGACACAUUGGGACUGAGAUACGGCCCAGACUCCUACGGGAGGCAGCAGCUAAGAAUAUUCCGCAAUGGGGGGAACCCUGACGGAGCGACGCCGCGUGGACGAUGGAGGCCGGAAGGUUGUAAAGUCCUUUUAUACGUGAAGAAUAAGCGGGGGAGGGAAUGCUCCCGCGGUGACCGUAGCGUAUGAAUAAGCGCCGGCUAAUUACGUGCCAGCAGCCGCGGUAACACGUAAGGCGCGAGCGUUGUUCGGAAUCAUUGGGCGUAAAGGGCAUGUAGGCGGCCCGGUAAGUCGGGAGUGAAAGGCGGGGGCUCAACCCCCGGACUGCUCCCGAUACUGUCGGGCUUGAGUCGCCGUGGCGCGGCCGGAAUUCCAGGUGUAGGGGUGAAAUCUGUAGAUAUCUGAAAGAACACCGGUGGCGAAGGCGGGCCGGCGAGCGGACGACUGACGCUGAGGUGCGAAGGUGCGGGGAGCGAACAGGAUUAGAUACCCCUGGUAGUCCGCACAGUAAACGAUGCGCGCUGGGCGUCCGGGCAUGAGUCCGGGUGCCGAAGCAAACGCGGUAAGCGCGCCGCCUGGGGAGUAUGCCCGCAAGGGUGAAACUCAAAGGAAUUGACGGGGGCCCGCACAAGCGGUGGAGCAUGUGGUUUAAUUCGAUGGUACGCGAGGAACCUUACCUGGGUUUGACAUAUCAGGGGGACUAUGCGGAGACGCAUAGGCGCGGCAACGCGCCCCUGAACAGGUGCUGCAUGGCCGUCGUCAGCUCGUGCCGUGAGGUGUUGGGUUAAGUCCCGCAACGAGCGCAACCCCCGCCGCCAGUUGCCAGCAGGUGAAGCUGGGGACUCUGGCGGGACCGCCGGCGACAAGCCGGAGGAAGGUGGGGACGACGUCAAGUCAUCAUGGCCCUUAUGUCCAGGGCUACACACGUGCUACAAUGGCGGGCACAGAGCGCAGCGAGGCCGCGAGGCGGAGCGAAGCGCAGAAAGCCCGUCCCAGUCCGGAUCGGAGUCUGAAACCCGACUCCGUGAAGUUGGAAUCGCUAGUAAUCGCGCAUCAGCACGGCGCGGUGAAUACGUUCCCGGGCCUUGUACACACCGCCCGUCACACCAUCCGAGUUGGGGACACCCGAAGUCGGCAGGCUAACCGCGAGGGGGCCGCUGCCGAAG
rnacentral:rRNA from 1 species